CCCUUAAAAAUAAAAUCAAGGAAGACGGGAAGGCUGAGCCAAGGCUGGGUGACAGAGGACGUUUUAGUCAGGCUCUUACGGAGGGAGAUGGCAAGGAAUACAGGAGGAGGAACAGCUGGCGGCAAAAGAAGCAGCAGGCUGGGUCCCCAAAACCGCUGUCCUGGGAUUCAGCAGUGGCCAUGGAGUGCCUGGAUGUGGGAUCUCAGUUUCUGGACUGAACCUGGGCUGCAGUGGUGAAAGCUUGAAUCCUAACCACUAGACCACCAGGGAACUCCCUCCAUUUAACUUGUUAUAUUUGGAAUCACGUGUGGAAUUUCAUCUAAACAUCCCCUUCAGGAAGACAUCUCAUACCGAAACUGAAGGAUAUCUAAAUUCUGCCAAGUAUCAUCCGUACAAUUGUCCUUAUUUUCCAAACGAAGCCUUGGAAGACUUGGCUGCUAAUAAAUGGAGUCAGGGUGACUUCGGAUUUUUGACUUCUUUCUUUUUUUAUAAUAAUACUGCAAACAGGGGGAAAAUCCAAUGCAUGACCAUUUGAGGAAAAUUUGGAAAAUCGAGGAGACAAUAAAGAUAGAAAUAUCUAUUAGCCCACCUAGUCCAGGAAGUGCUACUGUCAAAACCUGUGGUAGUUCUCUUGCUGGUCACAGUUCUAUGGAUUGGUGAGGACAAGAUAUGAUUAGAAACUAACUACAUGGCAGUGUUGGAGUCUGAUUUUUAAGUGUAACAGAUUGUGAGCAUUUUCCCAUGCCAGUCAACCCUUUCAAAGUCUAUUUUAGCCUGUGGAUAUAUUGUAAUUUAUGUAACAAUUCCCCUCUUGCGGGACCUUGAAGAUGCUUCCAUUUUGGGUGUGGGACAAAGACGCUUUUUAAUGGACAACUCCAUACACUAAGCACUCGUCUGUGUUCUAAGCUUAAAGGAGGAAGGGCUGAUUAAAGAGCCUAUUAUUCAACUGCAUCCCACAGACGUACAGCUUUUAUUCCAACAAGAAGUACGCGUUUGCGUCUUUUCAUACCACACCUUUGCUAGCGUUGAAUACUGUAG